AAUGAACGUUGGCGGCGUGGAUUAGGCAUGCAAGUCGAGCGAGAAUCCCAGCUUGCUGGGAGGACAGCGGCGAAAGGGACAGUAAUGUGUAGAUUAUCUGCCCUCAGGUCCGGGAUAGCUGCGGGAAACUGCAGGUAAUACCGGAUAAUAUCUCCGGAUCAAAGGUGUGAUUCCGCCUGAGGAUGAGUCUACAUCCUAUUAGCUUGUUGGCAGGGUAACGGCCUACCAAGGCUACGAUGGGUAGCGGGUGUGAGAGCACGACCCGCGUCAUUGGGACUGAGACACUGCCCCAGACACCUACGGGUGGCUGCAGUCGAGAAUCUUCGGCAAUGGGCGCAAGCCUGACCGAGCGACGCCGCGUGCGGGAUGAAGGCCUUCGGGUUGUAAACCGCUGUCAGAGGGGAUG
rnacentral:rRNA from 1 species